UAGGACGGUAGUUGGUGGAGGAAUCCUGAAGGUGCUACGCGGCGAUAGGAUUGUACUGGAGAGAAAGAAGGGGAGCAGAGGACAUAAUUACCUAGCAGGGAGCUCAGUACGAGGUGGAGCUUCGGGAAUCAGGUGAAGCCCAUAGUGAGGUGGAGCUUCAGAUGGAGGUGGAUCGGGCACGAGACAGGAGACUCGGAAUGAGGAGAGACGACAUCGCAAGAUGAGAUUUCUAUUGCCGUAGGAUAAUACCCCGAGUAGAUCUCAGGU
rnacentral:lncRNA from 1 species